UGUUAACUAAAUAUAUUAUUAUUUUUUUGUUAAUUACAAGGAAAUUUUUUUAAUUUUCCAGUUUAAUAAACCCUAGAUCAUUCCCUCUUCAUUUCAACAUUUUUCGCUUUACAAAUCAUUUUCAAACCGUCUCAUCCAAUAGCCCACCACUUAAAUUAACAUCAUCCGUGGAAUUCAAAUUCAAGAUAUCUAACGGUUUCGGAUUAGUCAGCCGAUAACUUAGGAAUUGCCUUAAAAUAUUCAUGAAAUAUUUGUGUUUCAAUGCCAAUAUUGACUUCAGUAGGAGCUACUUUUUGACUAAAAUCCUCACCCGCCACCUUGCAUUCGCAUUUCACACGAUUUUGUAAUUUUAUUUUUCGAUUUUGUUUGUGUUUAUUGUUUAUUUUAAUUUUAUUUUUCGUCUGCGAGCAGGCCAAAGUUUUCCACUAUGGAUCAAUAAGCUUGAUAGUGGAGCCAUGCCGAUCAGCACACUUGGAGGCAAUGAAAGCAGCCAAGGAAGCAGGAGCCCUGCUCUCAUACGACCCCAACCUCCGGCUGCCGUUGUGGCCCUCGCCGGAGGAGGCGCGUGAGCAGAUAAUGAGCAUCUGGGACAAGGCGGAGGUAAUCAAAGUCAGUGAUGUGGAGCUUGAAUUCCUCACCGGGAGUGACAAGAUUGAUGAUGAAUCAGCAUUGUCGCUGUGGCACCCCAACUUGAAACUCCUUUUGGUCACCCUUGGAGAGCAUGGCUGUAGAUACUACACUAAGGUAAAAAAAAAAAACAUAAAACUUGCCAGCUAAGCUGAAUUCAAUUUCUUUAUUUAGUUGGAUUGUUAGUUGAAUAGAUGAAGGUUGCUUAAAUUUUAGACAUUUGGCUGUAAACAGUUGGUAUGGUGGUAUGUGUUGAUAAAAAUGGAGUAGACCCACUUGCACCCAGCUGGGUACUCACUUGUGAAUUUAUGAUUUUGUGGGCUCAUUUUAAGUUGCAAGUACUAGAAAAGUUAACCACUUGGACUUAGCCCAAGUGGCCAGAGUCACUCCCUCACAAAUGUGAGGGAAGUGGUUCGAGCCUCCGUAGACGUAUUGUAAGGGUUUAAUUUAAAUUUUCUUCCUUGGAACCUCAGAGCUUGAGUGAAGACAGUCUUUCUCCUAGGAUGGGAGCUGACGUCCCUCGAAUAUUUGAGAGGGUUAAAAAUCUGAGUGGUGCCAUAUCAAAAUUAAUGUAAACGGGUCUCAGUAUAUAUAUAAUUGUAAAUAUCAUCACGAGCAAUAGUUCUCAUUCAAAAAAAAAAAAAAAAAGUACUAGAAAAGUUUAAUUCUCGGAAAAAAGUAGACUAAUGAGGUGCUGGGGAAAUUUGAAGUUCUGGUUAAAAGUGUUUAUUGGUUGAAGAGCCAUUAGCAAUAGGUGAUGUUGUCUCUUGGCUGACGUUAAAAGGACAAGUCCUGUUGUUGUUUUUCAAGUUCUUUUUCCUUGGAACCGAAUCUGCUUGUGGAAGUGAGGAGCCCCCACCCUCCAACUUGAACUUUGGUGAAAUAUUUUAUCUUUAUUUUAAUAAUAUUAAGGGUGUGUGGGUAGAAUUUUAAACCCACCUUGAAGUUUUAAUAAUCGAAAUGGUUUUGUUUCGACCAUAGAUAGGUUCACUUCACUAUUAGCAUAUUCAAUUCUAAUAAUAAAACAGUAUUAUAACCUUAUGUUACUACCUCUUAGUGUGGAGUGGGAAACUAUACUCUAAUUAGUCUUCUUGGCUUUUGUGAAAAUUGUAGAGUUUCAAAGGAGCAGUGGAUGCUUUUCGUGUGAAAACAGUAGAUACAACCGGCGCCGGUGAUGCAUUUGUUGGUGCUCUUCUAUGCAAGAUUGUUGAUGACCAAUCUGCUAUUGAGGUAACUUGUUCUCAUAUUUUUAUUUUUUUAAAUUACACAAGACUAUUGCUCAGCUUACAAUAUAUUACAUGAUACUAUAACUCAUAUUUACAAUCAGACAAUUAUUGAGACUAAUUUACAUCAACUAUUUCUAAUAUUUAAAGGAUGUCAACUCCACUCGCAUUUCGAGAGAAAAAAAACUAUCUUCACUCAAAUUUUGAAGAAGGAAAUUAAAAUUAAACUCCCACAGUAUUUUUAAUAGUUCGAACCACAGUCUUCACACUUGUGAGAGAGUGGGUCUAGCCACUCCGGCAAGGCCGAGUGAUUAUUCUCAUAAUUAUUAUAACAAUUGCUAUUUAUUAAUAUUAAUUUUAAUUUUAAGGUAAUUUAUCCACUUUUGGUUUUCUUUUUUUUUUUAAACUCCAGGAUGAACCAAGGUUGAGGGAGAUAUUGAAAUUUGCAAAUGCCUGUGGAGCCCUCAGUACCACCAAGAAGGGAGCAAUUCCAGCUCUACCCACAGAGUCUGAAGCUCUCGCCUUACUCAAAAGGAGCACAAUAAUAGACAAAAUUAUGAGUUGGAUUUUUUUUUGGUUUGUAUUUUGAAUUUUCUUUUCGUUUCUAUAUAAGUUGCUUUGAAAUUCAAUGAAAGAAAGGGCUUCUUCUAGAGCUAUCAAAAUUUCUCUGCCAUUUCUUGUUUUACAAUUUUUUUUUCUUUUUUUGGGUUUCUUUGUUUCAAUGUUUGGGUUACUUGUCUUUCCCUGUUUGUAAUGAUGGAAGACUUGAGCUCCAAGGCUUCUGCUCUGCUUUAGUGAAUAAAAAUAUCGUUUCUCACGAUUGCCAUCUCAUCAAAAGGGCUUGCAGCCAUCAUUUAAGGAGCUACCUUAGUUUUCUUCGCUCGUUUCUCAUAAAAGGAUCCCAUAAAAGGACGACCUAAGUGGGGAACAUGAUAUUGAAGAGGGAAAAAUGUCCAUUAAAAAUGAGAUUUGAAAUAUUUUCUAUGAGAAGCUUAAAAAAUGAAACGUACUUUAAGAUGGUGUGUUGAAUCAUCUUGUAUUGCAUUAAACAGCCUUGUUGUUUCAAUUUUAUAGUCCAUUUAUCCCUCGUGUGAUCAAGUGCGGACUAGGGAGCUCUCUUCUUGGAUGCAAGUGCUAAAUGCCGUCGGCAAAAUCAUUGCUGUUACUUCACACUUCCCAGCAAUCCAAAGAAAUGAUUUUUCUUUCUGCUGAAGCCCUCUUUUGAAUCAAAUCUUUGAAGUGGUUAAUCUUAUCCCCUUUUUUUUUUAGAAUAAUUUUCACUCAUUCUAAUAAGAUAAGACCCUGUGGUGUUUGCGUUACUUUUUUCCUACAAUCGUUUUGUAUCUGUAAUAUUUAGUCAUAUUUUAUAUUUUCACCGCCCUUGAUUGCUUUGUUCCAAGGCUAGCAACAUGAAAAAUGCAAAAUUUUCCAUGCAACUUUAUUCAUUAGUAGGGAGCAUUCAUUUACCUUUAUCCGCAAAGUCCUCCGAGUUGGCUUGCAUUUUGCCUACUUUGAUUGCAUUUUAGCCAGAACCAUCUCUGCCCAUGGUUCCUUGCUUCCCUCCAUGCUCAAUUCACAAGGCACAGAGAAACUGUUAAACAAUUUUCACAUGGAAACAGAUACCAGCAUGUAGUAAAUAAAUAAUAAUAUCUCAAAACCAGUUAAGCAAAUAAAUAAUAAGCAGAAACUUGUCACAACUCAAGCAACUCUAAAAUAGUCUAAGUAUCCAACAGCAACAGGUACACGUAUAAAGGAUUCCCUCUCUGAUUGGAGUUUGUCUCUCCAAUGGACAACUUUCAAAGUGUUUUCUGUUUAUUUUCAAACAUAUCUUGAGAAUUACAUGUGAAAGUCAUUAACUCCUGAAUAUGGACGAGAAUGAAAAAGAAAAGCAUUCACACAAACUGUUAGAACAGACCGGAGGUGGCCAUAUGAGUGAUGAAAUUUUCUGGGAAACUUUUAGUUCCUCAAUUUAACUAUCAGAAUAUGGCCAGUGGCAACUUGCCCCGAUUAUUCGUGUCAAUAUUGACCAUUUUUUUUUUUUUUGGUUCCAAGAACACCCUCAUUAGUGAUCUGUUUAGACUGGCUUUUCUUGCUCACAAUUUAAACAGCAAUAGAACGAAGGAGAGUAAUCAAUAAUACCAAAGAAUUACAGUCCUUAUUUUGGGGAAUUUAAUGGACUAGUCCCCAAAAAAAAAAAAAUUGAUUGAAAAAGGAAAAGCACAGCCCAACAAGAGUCCCAGCCAAAUUUCUAUUUCAUUUCUUGCCAACUUUAGUCCCCAUCACCCAAGUAAUUAACAGAAAGGUUGUGACCUGCCGACUGAUGUGGCACAAUUGACGUUAAUUUGCAAGAUAAUUCCAAAAUGCAUCAAUAUACAAUUGGUUAAAACUCUAAUUGAGAAAUGCAAGAUUUAGCAUUAUGUCAUAGCUCUAAUAUGAUGAAGGAUCACGGAAAUGACAGGAGUGGCAAAAAAAGAAAAUGGAGGUAUUAGGAUUUAGGAGUGCUUUGAUUGAUUUUUCCCUUUUUUCCCCUUGAUCUCUGCUUUGGUUGGCAAGCCAAUGCAUCCAUGCACAAAAUGCAAUGAAAGGAUUAUCCCUUAAAAUUGAAAAUGAAGUUCCCUUUUAGUUUUAUCUUUCAUUUUUCUCCCAAUUCCUGCACUGCCAAUGCCUAGCUCUAUUUUAAGCAUUCUGGUGUAAUUAUCUUUCAUUUUCUUUUGAUGUGUAGUUUGGUUUACUUGGUGAACGUUGGAAUCGAUAUAGGAGCAGUUUUGCUCUAAAUUUAAGUUCGCAUUUCAUUUGCAGGGGCUGGAAAAAUCAAAACAUGAGCAGUCACUGGAGCCUGUUGGGCGCUUUACUGCCAUGGCGGAGGAAAGAAUUGGAGCUCUAUUACAGGAACAUAGCACUUAAUGGUGAAAAGCGUAGAAUCCACCUAUGAUUCUUUUUCUCCAGGUGCCACAGAGGCAGAAAGUGAUUCCACCGAUCAAUCACUAUCCGAACUUCGGGAUGAUAUUGAAGAUGAGGGCUUAUCCGCAAGCGAAUCAGAUUCUCAAGACGGCAGCUUAUCUGAUUUUGACCCAAAGGAAAGCCAAGUAAGCUCUCAUAGAAUGCGAUCGCUCUCCUUUACGAUGUCAGGAUCAUCAUCGAUAUCAAAUAAGGUUAUAUGAUUCUAAUGAUAAAAAAAUUUCACAGAGACGAAAUAGAGACGUCAGAAUUUAAUUCAAAAUCUCAUUUUACUUGCCUAGUAGGCCUCGUUUGCUCUACCUAAUUUUUUUUUAUGUGGUACUAUUUUUGUAUUCUAAUAUUUACUAAUGUAGUAUUAUCGUAAAUAGCCAAUUGUCGUCAUGUGAUAUAUUUGUUCAUCGUCUGCAUAUAUGAUAGGCAGAAAUUAUCCAUCUCUCUAUCCUAAACCAGACAAGCAUUCAUGUAAUAGGGUUACCAUCAAUUACAUGAAUGAUGAUUUGAAUCAAACAAACUGUGUAUUUUUUUUUUUUUUCCUUUUUGAUAAGAAUUGUGUCUGCCUAAUAAUUAAGUUUUAUGUAGUUAAUUAUUUUUUCUUUUUUCAAAAGUAUUUUAUUUUAAUUUUAUUCCUGUUUCUUUUCUUUAAAAGUUUGCACGUGGCAGCCUCACAAGUAUGCUUGUUGUAUUCUCUUUUGAAUAUAUUUUAUUUAUCUAAGAAUUUAUCCUUUCCACCGCACUUUUUUAAUCACAUAAAUAGAUUUUUUUUUAAAAAAGAUACUAUAAUCUUUAUUGAAUUAUAUAAUGUGGCACAAGUUGACAUGAGUUGAUAUUCUGAAAAUGAUGGAGAUAAUUGUGAAUCGUUGAAGAGAAAAUGAACCUAAAGUUGCCCGUUUUAUUUUAUAUUGAGAAUUAUAAUAUUCAGUAUACAUUUUGGGAAGCAACAUUUGACUAUUUGGGUGCUUGUAGGAAUUUAUACCCAUUUUUCCCCUCUAAUUUGCAAAUAAGGAAUUAGUGUAAGAAUAAAAUAAAAAAGAUUAUCUGUCUUAUAACAAAUUCUCCAAAAUUAUCCACUAGAGUGAUUAUGGACCUAAUUUUUUUAUGUACUUAUUGCUAGUGAGUUGCCAUUUAACUAUGAAGGUCUUGUCAUGUGAUGCAUUCUUUUUUUUUUAACAUAUUAUUGCAUCGCCACUUCGGCUUGUGAGGGCAGCGGUUCUAGCCCCCACAAUACUUUUGUGGGGGCUAAAUAUUUUUUAUAUUUAAAAAUCAUUCUCCCUUGCGAAAUGCAAGUGGAGUAUGAGCAUUCCUCUCCUGUGAGGGGUUAUUUGUCUGGACAUGUACUUCAUAGAAUUUAUUGUAAUAAUGUAAGUCCUAAUCAUGUAUAUCUGAUUGUAAAUAUCAGUGUAAUAUCUCUGCUACAAUAGCAGUUGUUGUAAAUAUCUGUGUAAUACAGUAAUCUGAUGAUUAAUCAGUAUUCAAAAAAAAAAAAAACAUAUUAUUGCAUCUUAUAACAAUUAAGUGCAUAAAUAUGAAAAAAAAAAAUCGAACAUACAAUCAAAAACUUGAGAAAUAUAACAUAAAUUUUAAAAAAUUUAUAAUACACAAAACUUAUAUUUCAAUAAGAUAUAGUAUUAUUCUAAUUUCUAAUCCUUAAAGAUGGAGUCUGGUGUGGUUUUGGCGGGGGGGGGGGGGGGGGGGGGGGGGGGAAGGCGUGUCACAUGCCUCAUGUAUUUUAGAUAUGAUAAUCAAACAUCUUUAUGGUAAAAGAAUUGGAUAAUAUUGUCUUCCUAAGGCUAAGGAGAUAUGGUGGGUCAAAUUUAUUAAUUACAAUUCUAAUACAAAUAUAAAUUAAGAAAAAAAUUGUUUUUUCUCGUGCAUCUGUUUUCGUGAAUGCAUCGACUUUAAUGAAGCUUCAGUUCCGGAAAUGUAUUUGCAAAAGUGAAUAGCUUCGCAUCAAAUCAAUCAAAGGCAGGCAAAGGGUUUCCUUCUUUGGAUCAUAUGAGCUACAAAAUGUCAAACGAACUUAGGAGGAAGUGUUUAUUCGGAAGUGCUUUCCAUAUCGUCAUCCAAACUCACCAAGUGCUUGCUAAAGACAAAGCUUUGAAUCUUUGAGGGUACGUGAGGCACUAAGCUCUCGAAAAUUAUGACCACUUAGAGAGUCUUGUCACACGUAAUCUAUAUUUAAACAUCUCGACAUCUUAUCGAUCAAAUUUUGUGAAAACGAGAUGUUAAUUUUUAUUUCAGUAAAAUAAUCUAAGGAAUGAUCUGACUCGGUGACUCUACUCACUUUUAUUUUCUUUUAUUAUUAUAUUACAAAGUAUAUUUUGUUGAAAACGUUUACUGAGAUCGCCCCCAUUAUUGAGAAAAAAAAAAGAUAAAUUUUAUUCUUGUAACACACUUAAGGAGACUUAAACUCUCAAUCUCAUUAUUUAGAUGAGGAGGUUCCAUCGCUAUUCAAAUGAUUAAGAUAUUGUUUGGUAUCAAGUUGCAUGCUCUUAUUUAUGAUUGAAAAUGAAAUACUGGGGAUAAUUUGGUUAUUUUAAAAGCAGUUUGGGACCUCUUUGAUACAAAUUGACAAAUGAAGGGUCCACUCCGUGUGUGAUUUUUUUCUUUAUUUUUUAAUGCAACCCUUAUUUGAAAAGGUGAACUGAGACAAAAAAAACUUUUAGGUUUCAGAUAUAUAAAGAGGGAGGAUUCUCUAAAAUUGGGCGGAAGUACGUAGAAGCUAGUAUGGGUAAUUGACUCGACUCAAUUGUUAUAUUAUUUUUUAAAAUUUUGUUUAAGUGGGAGUAAAUUUAUGAAAAAAAGGGUAUUGGGAUCAAUUUUAUAAAUUAUUAAUUUGUAUUGUUAAUGAAAUAAGUUUCUAUAUCAGGCCCUAUCUCUAGAUCUAUAAAUUUGAUUUUCGGUGGCUACAAAAUCCGUAAUUAGUUUCUGUUGGACCAAAUAUAAAAUAAGCCUAAUAAGGCCUAAAUAAAUUUAAUCUCAAUAAGACCUAUCUAAUAAAUUUUCUCUCAAUUAUUCUCACGAAGUGGUGGACAAACCACCUAGAAUGAUAUUCCUAAGUAAUAAGCCUUCAAAGCCCAAAAGAUGUCGAUAUUAUAAGCUCUUAUCCUAGGACAAACCUCCUAAGUUUGAAGGCUCCUAUGAUCCCAAGGUCUUAGUAAAAAUAACCUAAGGAUAAAAUAUUUAUUCCUUUAAUCCGUAAACAAGUUUGUAUAUCCAUGUGUCAAUCAACAUUGGUACUAAAAGACAAGUGCUGCCAAAUGUCACAAGAACAAUGACAUUUGUCAUCAAAAUAACUAGGACUCAAGUCAAAUCAAUUUGGCCGAUGAAUAUGUCUUUCAUUCUCUGUAAAAGCUAAGAAGAAAGAGACUCAAAAGUAAAAAGGGCUAACUUUCUCCCUCUAAUAUUUCUCUUUCUAAAUUUAUAUUUUCAAAAGUCCAAUGACUGACUUGACCGUCGGAGAGUUUACGCCGGCAAAGUCGGCCCUCUGAUAUUUUUCUUGUGUUUAUAGAGUAUCAUUAAAUAAGGACAUUUUGAUUGCCUAAAGAAGUAAACUCAGAAGAGGAUAUAUAAAGACCCAUUAAGAUCAAUCCAAAUGAUAAACUCACUAUUAUCAAAUCCAACAAAGAGGAACCCAAGUCUUAAGGGGGUCGUCCUCAGUCGAAAUUUCUACAUCAUAAGUUGGGACAAAAUUUGUAUCAAUAGUUUCUAAUAAAACAAAAUACAGUAAAUGAAUAAUACACAUAUAAACUUGGGAUAAAAUUUCAUAUACGAAGUAACGUGAUAUUGGAAAAAUUCAUGACAUGAAUAGAGACUAAUAUACCAUAAGAAUAUUCCCGUCAUAAUUAAAAAACAAGAUAAAUUAAUUAAAGGAAAAAAAGACACUAACACUCUCGUGAUUUGGUGAAAUGGUUACAAAAACUCUAUAUUUUUAAAAAUAGUCACAUACACCCCUUUUGGAACACGUAGAUUCUCUUUCUAGACAAACCAUGGGGGUCUAUAUGAAUAUGUAAUAAUUUCUAAAUAUAAAAAUGAGUUUAUAUUUCUAAAAAAUAGUUCGUAUAAUUAUUUUUAAACAUAUAAAUGGAUGUAUGUUAUCUGAAAAAAUAACAUAUGUGACUGUUUAUCAAACUAAAGGAGAAUUGGUGUCAUUUUCCCUUAAUUAAAAUAAAAUUCUAUCUUUUAUACAAAAGGAACUCGUUCGCUUCCCUCAAACAUAUGUCAUCAAACAUUUGUCCUCAGAUAUAAGGUUAAUAUAUGGGGUGUCAAAUUAGAUGUAGUUGUUUUGAACCAUAGUUUCUUUAAUAAGUAAAUUGUCUUCAUUAUUUAAUAAGUAAAUCGUCUUCAUAUACUAUCCUUAUUUUACUUCAAAAACUAAAGUAGCAAAGAUUUUGUCUCCACCAAAUUGGCAUUUAUGUAGGACUUUUUUUUUUUCAAAAUGUUGAAACAUGUUUCUAUUUCUAUAUUUUGUUGUCUUUUGGAGCAUGGCUAUUGUCGUCUCCGAUUUCAAACAAAUCCAUCAUUUUCUUUUAUUGUUUUUCUAGGUAAUAACUUGGAAGAAAAAAAAAAAGGAAAAUGAAGUUCGUAUUUUUUUUUUCAAUAUUACAAAUAAAUUCCUUAAAAACAAAGUUCCAAAUAGAUUUGAUUUGCAUCAGAAUAAAUCAAUUGAAACUACCUUUUUUUUUUAAAAAAAAGGGGGUUUCUUGCAAGCACAUGGGAUCUGCCAAUCUGGCAAGUUGCGAGUUUGCAAAACAAAAUGCACUAAACACGACAUAUAAUAAUUACAAAUCAAAAAAACUGUUUGAAAAAAAAUAAUAAUGCACAUGUUGUAGAAGAGAGUCAUGAUCAACUCAUCAAAUACGACAACUAAUAUUUGACUCACUACCCACAUUCAGAAAUUUAUUUAAUAAAUAAAUACCAAAGUAAACUCAAUCAAGCAUGGCUACAACCAAUCGGAAAGCAAUGACUUAUCAAAUUUAGAAAGAGAUUUUAUAUGGUUUAUAUAUACAAAAAAAUAUAUCCUGUAAUGUAAUUUAAAUGCUGUUUGUAAUAUGCAGUUUAAAAUUUUUAAUAUAGCUUAAUAAUUGGGCUCAUCUUAACAAUAAAUUUUUAAAAAUAAAAUAACCCAUUUAAAGUUUAGAAAAAAAAAAUUAUAAAUAAAAUUCCAAAUGAAUUUGGUGUGGAGUGAGUGUUGUGUCGUGGUAGGGACUUGGGACUUGGGACUAGGGGAAUUUCUUAUCAAUUUCAUUCUCGGUUCUGAGUUGUGGCAACAAAAAGACUGUCUGCUGAGAAAUUUCUGAUAAAAAAUAAUAAUUGAUCUUCAUCGACUGCUGUAAUGUGCACAACAAGCAAGUGGGCAGCCACUUUAAUGGUUUUAUGAUUUUGAUUUUCAACGUAACAGAACAAGAAAAUAAAAAUUAAACUUAUAAAAACUAUGGGUGACGGACGGUGACCCACCAUUUUCAUCAACUCAGACUUUGUCUAAAAAUGUGGGUUUUUAUAUCAUCUGUGGUUGUGGGAUCAAAAUCAACCCACUGACAAACAAUUUUUUAUUUUUUUCGAGAGAAACUGAUUGGGUAACCGUAAAAUGUUAAAUUUGGACCUAAAUUAUCUGAAGAGAUAGAUGAAAUUUAAGAUGUUGAAUAUAUGAUAAAAUGUUAGGGUUUGAGUUUGAGUCUAAUAAAAAUUACAAUUAAGGUAUUAAAAAAAAAGGAGUAACGAUUGGAUAGGGGUAACUUACUCUGCAGGGAUAAUUUUAAAAAAUAAUAAUAAAUACAGAAGUUAUAUCUUUCAUUCAUAUAUAUAUAUAUAUAUAUCUGCUGUACGGCCAAGGCGGAUGUACGGUACAGCAGUUAAAACCGCACGAUUUUAAAAGCUUAAAACUGUAACUUUCUCUUUAAAAUUUCGGACUUAAACAUUUUUGUAUAUAUAUAUAAAUUUGCCCAUGAUGCAUUUUUAUGAUUAAAUAACGUUUUUCCAUAAUUUUGUUAUCAACAUUAUCCAAAAUGUCUUUCUUAAUAGACUAGGAUUAGGGCCAUUGGAUUUUUAAUUUCAAGUUUUUGAGUUGUUUACAUAGUUUUAAAGGUCUUUGUAUUCUGUGAUAAAAUUUAUAAAUUCUACUAAGUGUUUAUAAUUUGUUUAAUAAAAAAAAUAUGAUAAUUCUGAAGAUUCCAAGAGAGUCUUAAAAUGAAUUUUUAAAAUUCGAAAAAUGUCUCAACAAAAUACUCUGGUUUUUCAAGUUCGAUUAGACAUUUAAUUGGAUAAAAUUUUGGAUGAAUUUGUUUUAUCCAAAAUCCAAAUCAAUUUCUAACUAGUCCUCCUAAUUUGAUAGAUAGACUUGAAUAAAUCACUUGAUAAAUGUGUUCUGAACUAAUCCAAGAUGUUAUUCAUAAGAAAAAUGCAAGAAUAUGAUCCAAAUCCAAUUGAAUCUUUCACAUAAGAUAACAAGUUUAAUGGAAUUAGAAACCUCAAGAAUCAGAAGUUUAAUUAAUAGAGGAUUGCGGAUACCAUUCUAAUCCUUUUGAACGGAUUCACUUUCUUUCUUUGAAGUAAAUUCAACUAAAAGAGAUUAUCUCUCCAGGAAAAUAGGAUUUUUGUUUUUUAAUUUAUUACUCCAUACAUAUUUUCCUAUAAGGGAUUAUCCUAAUCUAGCAAUCUUUCUAGCUCGUAAAGAAAAAAAAAAAUUUGUUAGUUUAUCGACUUAAUGAUGAAGAUUCUGUCUAAAAAUAAAUAACAUUUACAAUCAUUAUUAUUAUAUUUAUUUUACUAUUUUAAAAAUAAAAUUAAUAGAUAAAAAAGGGAAAAAUAAUUAUUUUAAACGUUUAUUUGAUAAAUAAUUAAUAACAUAUUGUAUGAAUGACUAACAAAAACGUUCGAGACAUGAGACCAACAAGUUGAGUGCAUUGUUUUCGACUAUGUUUAAGACUCUGUUUUUUUUUAUUUAUUUUCAACAUUUGAAUUGUAUUUUUCUGUCAUUGCGUUUGAUCAAGGUAGGUUCCAGUAAAUUUCUGUCAAAAUUAAAAAUUAAAAAUUAAAAAAAAGAAAAAGAAAAAGUCACGGAUGAUUAGAACAUUCUAGAAUACAAGUUGGAUUUUGUCAUGGGAGUGGGCGAUUUUGUGUUGUUAAUUUAUUAAUUAAUUAAACACCGACUAAUGUUAAAAAAAUAAAUUAAAAUACAGAAAAACCACGGUAAGAUUAGACAGUAUUUGAUUAUUAAAUUUGUUUUUUUUUUUUUUUUAAUAAAAAGAAGAAGAUGAAUGUGUUGUUUUGUAUUAUUUGUUCAAUUAAUGACAGCCACUGCCCACUGGGCAACGUGAUUCUCUCUAUUAACGAGCUACGUAAACUUGCAACCCAUUCCCUCUCACUUCCAACAUGCUUUCUUCAAAUAUUUUUGGAUUAUUUAACUUAAUUAAUUCCAAUAUUCUUUUUUUGUAUAUUUGUAGACAAAAUUAUUAAUCUUCAUUAUUCUUUAUUAAUAAAUUUGUUAAAUGAAUAAUAAAUUUAUGAACUUUCUUUUGUUUCAUUAAUAUAAAUAUCAUAUCAAGACAUUUCGAGUUACUCAGUGUGUAAUGUGAAAGAGACCGAAGGUUUUUAAAAUAGUUCAAAUCUAUUACGAAUCGGAUUUUCAAUCUUAAAUAUUAAUUCAAAAGAAACUCAUAAAGCUAUAUUUUGUAAGUAAUUAAACUUAGGGACGACAAUGGGGAGAGAAGGAAAGGGACCAACAUUUUCGUACUCAGUCUCAAUGUUUUGCAUAUGUCACUGUCCCUUUCUUGCCCCCCCAAUAGAAUUGCUUGAGGAGAGGAAAUGAAAUCCAUGAUUAUCGAAUAACUGAUACAUUUUUAGUUUUUAAUUUAAUUUAAUCAUAUUAAAAAUUUUCUAAAUAAAAGUAAAAUUUGAUAAUAUAUCUUACAUUAAUAUUAAUCCAUUACAAAAGUUACACUACAAAAUAUAAAUCAUCAUAAUAAUUAUUUUAGUCAAUUUUCAUAAUUUUAUAAUAAAAAAUUACUUUAAUGUCAAUAAUGAAAUAGAUAAAAUAGAUAUAGGUACUUAAAUUAAUACUUUCAAUAAAAGCUCUUACCUCUUACUCCUCCUCUGUUUGUGGAUUGUGCUUUGAGUUGUGGUUAAAUUUAAAUUGUAUUAAAAUUUUAUCUUAAUUAAUAUUUAUGUUGUUUGAAUAAAUAUUAUUUUACAAUUUCAAUUUGAUUAUUUAUUUUCUAAUAAUUUUAAAAAAUAAAAUAAAAAAUAGAGAAAAGAUGGAGAUUUCACCUCAUUCCCUCUAGGGAUGGCAAUGGGGAGGUGAGGGGAGGGGACCGAUCUCUCUGUACCCAUCCCCAAUAUUUUGCCUAUGUCCUUGUCCCCUCCCCAUCCCCGUCCUCGUUAGAAUUACUUGAGAGAAUCUCCAUCAUUUCCCCGAAUAAGAACAUGGGAUUCCCGAGGGUCCCCGAUUUCCGAAUAACUAAUACAUUCUUUUGUUUUCGAUUUUGAGUUAAUCAUAUUAAAUAAAAAAUUCAAAUAAAAGUAAAGUUCGAAAUAUAUCUUACAUUAAUAUCCAUUACAAAAGUCACAUACAUUAAAUUAGUAAGUAACGCAUACAAACUUCUUUUACAAACUAUCAUGAACAAAUUAAUAGUUUAAUACAAAAUUAUUACAAAUAAAAUCGAAUUUAGAUUCAAAAUUAACUUUUUCAAUGGUGGCGUGAACACUUUAUAAAUAUGGACUAUUCCCUUUACAGCACAAUAGUUAAGUCGAAGCAAAUCAAGAGCAAAUAUUAGAUUAGAUAUAAAAAUUGUGAUUCGUUGUGGGCAAUUAUAACAUCUAAAAAUAAAUAAAAAAUAGAUUUAAGUUUAAAAUAUUUAAUGAAUAUUAAAAUUAAAACAAAAUUUUUAGGCUAAUAGAAUCUAUCCGGUCUUUUUAAUGUCCUAAAUAAAAAUUUAGGACUUUAAUUAGUUAAUUAGGCCUAAAAGUUUAAUAAUAAAAAUAUUUUGAUAUUUGUUAUUUUUACCAACAUUUAUAAUUUUAUAAUUCAAAAUUUAUUAUUUAUUUACUAAUAAUUUUUAAAAAUAAAAAAAUAAAAAAUUAAAAUGAGGAAAUAAGUAGGGGAUGGGAUGGGGAUUACAUCUCAUCUUUGUCCCCUCCACAAAAAAAAAAUUAGGUAAAAAAAUUUUUCUAUCCCUUUUCCGAAUAAGAAAUUAGGUAUGAAAAUAAUCUCAUACCUUCCAUGAAUAGAAAAAAUCUCCAAAAAUAUUUAUCCCAUAUAAAAUCGUUUCCAGUCCUUUUCAAGUGUUAAAGUCUCCUGAGUCCCUAGUUAAACUUAAAUCUAAAAUGAGAAACAAAAUUAUAAGAAUAAAUAAAUAAAUAAAAUAUUGCAUGGACCCACAAAUAAAUAUCUAAAACAAAUUAUUAUCCAAACCAAGGCAAUUGCAAUUACAAUGGAAGACGAGAAAAGAAAUUCCAGAAGGAAAAAGAUCUCCAAUUAAUAUCACUUACCCAUAAAUUACGCUUACUCUUUUUUUCUAUUUUUUAAUUAUUAAUUAAAUUUAAUCCAAUUUCUAACGACACCCACCACUCCUCUCUAUAAAUACCGCUUCCCACUUACUUCUUCAUCUCUCUCUCUCUCUCUCUCUCUAUUGAUUUUAUUUCUCUUCAUAGACUCUCUCUCCAUUCAAUACACAUCGUUUCGAUUUUUGUACAAAUGGCUACCAACGGCGCCGUUUCAUCCUCCUCAAGCCUGAUCGUGUCCUUCGGUGAGAUGCUCAUCGACUUCGUCCCGACGGUCUCCGGCGUCUCCCUCGCCGAGGCCCCCGGAUUCCUCAAGGCCCCCGGCGGCGCCCCCGCCAACGUCGCCAUAGCCGUAGCUCGCCUCGGCGGCAAGGCAGCCUUCGUCGGCAAGCUCGGCGACGACGAGUUCGGUCACAUGCUCGCUGGGAUCUUGAAGGAGAACGGAGUCAGCGCUGACGGCAUCAACUUUGACCAGGGUGCCAGAACUGCCCUUGCAUUCGUGACCCUGCGGGCUGACGGCGAGCGCGAGUUCAUGUUUUACAGAAACCCCAGCGCUGAUAUGCUCUUGAGACCCGACGAGCUUAAUCUUGAGCUGAUCAGAUCUGUACGUUAAUUUUUUUUUUUCAAUUUUGUUUUUACUUUUGUGAUCCUUUUGCAUGAAUUUCACGCGCGGUCUGCGGGAUCUUGCCACUUACCGGGACAGCGGGUCCCACUUACUUUCUUUUCACUCCCAAUUUCUCUCGCUAGAUUUUCUCAUUCGAGUCCGAGCUGAACAAAAAAAAAAAAAAAAAAAAUAUUGACUUUUGGAUUUUUGCAACGGCGGCGCUAAAUCACCGUCCAGCCCGUUGGUUGAUGGAGUCACAGGGGAUGACUUAAAUCUUUAGACACAUCUUAAGUAAUUUUCUGUUGAUCCAGCUUAUAUCAUCGCAGGCGGGUUCCACUUGAGGCGUGAAUCAUGACAUCAAGCGGCCCUCGUUGAAUUUCUAAAUAGAAAAGCUGACUCUGAUCAUUAUUCUUUUUUGGGAUGAGGAGUAUAGCGGCUUAGGUGUUAACGUCACGUGCUCUCACGCGCGGCAGAGCAAAGAAUUAAAAACUCGACACGUCAGACUUAUUAGAUGUGGGACGCCGCAUGCGUUCGGCACUCAGAUCUAAUCGUGUAGUUUUUACCCACCACCUGGAUUCCAUUAUUAUACCGUGGACCCUUCCUACGGAUUCUUUUUAAUUGUUGUCUCUUUCCCACGCGCCUUCCAUUUACAUUUCCGAAAUUAAUUAUUAAUGUCCCAAAAAAUAUUAGUUAAUUCGAUACGGUUAAAACACUCAUGAAAUAUUUGUGUUCAGAGCCAUUAUUGUCUUUAAUAGUAGCUACUUUUUGACUAAAAUCCUCACGCGCCUUGCAUUCACAUUUCACACGUUUUUUAAUUUUAUUUUUCAAUUUUACUUGUGUUUUUUGUUUAUCUUAAUUUUAGUUUGGUCUGCGUGCAGGCCAAAGUUUUCCACUAUGGGUCAAUAAGCCUGAUAGUGGAGCCAUGCCGAUCAGCGCACUUGGAGGCAAUGAAAGCAGCCAAGGAAGCAGGAGCCCUUCUCUCAUACGACCCCAACCUCCGGCUACCGUUGUGGCCCUCGCCGGAGGAGGCGCGCGAGCAGAUAAUGAGCAUCUGGGACAAGGCCGAGGUAAUCAAAGUCAGUGAUGUGGAGCUUGAAUUCCUCACCGGGAGUGACAAGAUUGAUGAUGAAUCAGCAUUGUCGCUUUGGCAUCCCAACUUGAAACUCCUUUUGGUCACCCUUGGAGAGCAUGGCUGUAGAUACUACAC
rnacentral:lncRNA from 1 species